rnacentral:ncRNA from 1 species
UUGAAGGCGGGAGGAGAGACCAUCAUCCGUGGCGCCGAAGGAGCAAACCGGGGAUGUACACCGGUGAAUCUCUCAGGCAAAAGGAGGCCCGCCG